rnacentral:SRP_RNA from 1 species
GCGUGCAAGCCUCGUCGGAGACUUACCGCCCGAGGGGGAGGUCAUUGUCGAGCUCCCCAGGCAGGGCCAUGUUGCGCUCCAUCACCAUAACGCUGUCCCCAGGGAUAUCACUUUGACGAAGUUCAAGGCAA